UACUGGCAUGUGUACAUGUAUGUCGACAGCCAAUUCUAAGUAACCUUAAACGUAUACAUUGUAUAUACAAAAGACCUACAACAAUGAACUAGCUCCUCAAAUGUCAGUGGAAUGGAAGUAAUACACAUCAUAUGUUUCAAUGAAAUUAACAUGAUUAAUGAUGGGAUAAGACGUAGAGGAGAUCCUAUAGCUACAGUACAUGUACAUUUAACUGCAAAUGUAUUCCAAGAGUUUAUGGCUGAUUAUGCAACUACAGGAUUUUAUCAUUAAAGCAACAUCUUAGAAGGAUAAGUGCAAAUGUAUGAAGGAAGCCUUGUGUACAAAUACAUGUAGCAAUUACAUGCAGGAGAGAACACUUAAACAUUACUAACAUGUAGUCAUGAUAUUGGAGUGGUGCAUUCUAGAAAUCUAAACACCUGGAAUUAAAUAUUGUGUAUAUUUUUUUUCAACCACAAGUACUUUCAGAAUAUAAUACAAUUCAAAUUCAAAUUAUUGUGUCAACAUGACAGUUACUGUCUAAAAAUGGAAAAUGCUUGUUUUAAAAU